rnacentral:rRNA from 1 species
CUGGAACGCGCCCCAGGCGCACCCAGAAACCCUUUGUGAACUUAUACCUUACUGUUGCCUCGGCGCAUGCCGGCCCCCCCGGGGGCCCCUCGGAGACGAGGAGCAGGCACGCCGGCGGCCAAGUUAACUCUUGUUUUUACACUGAAACUCUGAGAAAAAAACACAAAUGAAUCAAAACUUUCAACAACGGAUCUCUUGGUUCUGGCAUCGAUGAAGAACGCAGCGAAAUGCGAUAAGUAAUGUGAAUUGCAGAAUUCAGUGAAUCAUCGAAUCUUUGAACGCACAUUGCGCCCUCUGGUAUUCCGGAGGGCAUGCCUGUUCGAGCGUCAUUUCAACCCUCAAGCACUGCUUGGUGUUGGGGCACUGCUUCUUACCCAGGAAGCAGGCCCUGAAAUCUAGUGGCGAGCUCGCCAGGACCCCGAGCGCAGUAGUUAAACCCUCGCUCUGGAAGGCCCUGGCGGUGCCCUGCCGUUAAACCCCCAACUUUUGAAAAU